AUGCCGGACGACUCGAACCGCCUCGUUCCGGCUGGUUCCGGCCGAUUCCAUCGCCAGGAACCCCCCCUGUGUCUUCCUCUCCAUCGCCAUGGGCCUGCUGUUGUUUCUGUUCUUCAGAAACGAGAGCAGCAGCGGCUCCCUCAUCCUUGUGCGUUGACCCGCUCCAGCGCCAGCUCCCCUGCAUCGCUCGUCCCCUGCAUCGCGUGUGUGGCCUCUCGUGGCAGAUCGCCAAGGCCCACCGCGCCUCUGCCUAGCCGGCCUGCCCGGCCUCCUCCCACCGACCGGGCCUUGGCCCAUGUUGCAGGUACAGGUUGCGAUGAUCAUGACGCGAGAGCGAUGCUUGCUUGCGUUGAGUUCUUCUUCUGCUUCUUCUUCGAUCAGGGGAUACGUUCCAGGUCGGCCGCCUAG
rnacentral:rRNA from 1 species